rnacentral:rRNA from 1 species
UACGGAGGGUGCUAGCGUUGUUCGGAAUCACUGGGCGUAAAGGGCGUGUAGGCGGUCUGUUAAGUCUGAUGUGAAAUCCCCUCGCUCAACGAGGGAACUGCGUCGGAUACUGGCAGACUCGAGUACCGGAGGGGAAGGUGGAAUUCCCGGUGUAGCGGUGAAAUGCGUAGAUAUCAGGAGGAACACCGGUGGCGAAGGCGGGUCUCUGGGCAGUAACUGACGCUGAGGAGCGAAAGCGUGGGGAGCGAACAGG